GAUGAACGCUGGCGGCGUGCCUAAUACAUGCCAGUCGAGCGAACAGACGAGGAGCUUGCUCCUCUGACGUUAGCGGCGGACGGGUGAGUCACACGUGUAUACCCUACCUAUCAGACUGGGAUAACUUCGGGAAACCGGAGCUAAUCCCGUAUAAUAUAUUGAACCGCAUGGUUCAAUAGUGAGAGACGGUUUUGCGGUCACUUAUAGAUGGAUCCGCGCCGCAUUAGCUAGUUGGUAGGGUAACGACUUACCAAGGCGACGAUGCGUAGCCGACCUGAGGGGGUGAUGGGCCACAGUGGAAGUGAGCGACGGCCCAGACUCCGACGGGAGGCAGCAGUAGGGAAUCUACCGCAAAGGGCGAAAGCCUGACGGAGCAACGCAGCGUGAGUGAUGAAGGUCUUCGGGUCGGAAAACUCUGUUAGUGGGGAAGAACAAAUGUGUAAGUAACUAUGCACGUCUUGACGGAACCGAAACAGAAAGCCACGGCUAAUUACGG
rnacentral:rRNA from 1 species